UACAGAGGGGGCAAGCGUUGUUCGGAAUUACUGGGCGUAAAGGGCGAGUAGGCGGCCGCCUAAGUCAGACGUGAAAUCCCUCGGCUCAACCGGGGAACUGCGUCUGAUACUGGGUGGCUUGAAUCCGGGAGAGGGAUGCGGAAUUCCAGGUGUAGCGGUGAAAUGCGUAGAUAUCUGGAGGAACACCGGUGGCGAAGGCGGCAUCCUGGACCGGCAUUGACGCUGAGUUCGCGAAAGCCAGGGGAGCAAACGGG
rnacentral:rRNA from 1 species